UGGAUCCAGACUUUGAUUCUGGCUCAGGACGAACGCUGGCGGCGUGCUUAACACAUGCAAGUCGAACGGAGCACCCCUGAAAGAGUUUUCGGACAAUGGAUGGGAAUGCUUAGUGGCGGACUGGUGAGUAACGCGUGAGGAACCUGCCUUCCAGAGGGGGACAACAGUUGGAAACGACUGCUAAUACCGCAUAACACAUUUGAAUCGCAUGGUUUAAGUGUCAAAGAUUUAUCGCUGGAAGAUGGCCUCGCGUCUGAUUAGAUAGUAGGCGGGGUAACGGCCCACCUAGUCGACGAUCAGUAGCCGGACUGAGAGGUUGACCGGCCACAUUGGGACUGAGAUACGGCCCAGACUCCUACGGGAGGCAGCAGUGGGGAAUAUUGGGCAAUGGGCGCAAGCCUGACCCAGCAACGCCGCGUGAAGGAAGAAGGCUUUCGGGUUGUAAACUUCUUUUAAGAGGGAAGAGAAGAAGACGGUACCUCUUGAAUAAGCCACGGCUAACUACGUGCCAGCAGCCGCGGUAAUACGUAGGUGGCAAGCGUUGUCCGGAUUUACUGGGUGUAAAGGGCGUGCAGCCGGGCUGACAAGUCAGAUGUGAAAUGCACAGGCUUAACCUGUGAACUGCAUUUGAAACUGUCAGUCUUGAGUACCGGAGAGGUCAUCGGAAUUCCUUGUGUAGCGGUGAAAUGCGUAGAUAUAAGGAAGAACACCAGUGGCGAAGGCGGAUGACUGGACGGCAACUGACGGUGAGGCGCGAAAGCGUGGGGAGCAAACAGGAUUAGAUGCCCUGGUAGUCCACGCUGUAAACGAUGGAUACUAGGUGUGCGGGGACUGACCCCCUGCGUGCCGCAGUUAACACAAUAAGUAUCCCACCUGGGGAGUACGAUCGCAAGGUUGCAACUCAAAUGAAUUGACGGA
rnacentral:rRNA from 1 species